rnacentral:rRNA from 1 species
GUGAGGAAUAUUGGUCAAUGGGCGGGAGCCUGAACCAGCCAAGUCGCGUGAAGGAAGAAGGAUCUAUGGUUCGUAAACUUCUUUUGCAGGGGAAUAAAGUGCAGGACGUGUCCUGUUUUGUAUGUACCCUGAGAAUAAGGAUCGGCUAACUCCGUGCCAGCAGCCACGGUAAUACGGAGGAUCCGAGCGUUAUCCGGAUUUAUUGGGUUUAAAGGGUGCGUAGGUGGUUUGAUAAGUCAGCGGUGAAAGUUUGCAGCUUAACUGUAAAAAUGCCGUUGAGACUGUCGGACUUGAGUGUAAAUGAGGUAGGCGGAAUGCGUGGUGUAGCGGUGAAAUGCAUAGAUAUCACGCAGAACUCCGAUUGCGAAGGCAGCUUACUAAGCUACAACUGACACUGAAGCACGAAAGCGUGGGGAUCAAACAGGAUUAGAAACCCGUGUAGUCC